GGGGCUCGAACCCACAAACCGUGAGAUCAUGACCUGAGCCGAAGUCGGUCGCUUAACCCACUGAGCCCCAAGGCGCCCCUGAUUAUUGUCAUUAAUAAAAUGUGUCUGAAACAGCUACCCCUCCGAGUGUAAGGGUUCAGGGACGGAACAGCCCACAUGGUCACUGCACACACCUUUCCCCUCUUCCGCACUGGCAGGAAGGCCGCUGUGCCCCACACCUGGGCGCGUCUCCCCUGCAGCCCCAGGACCAUCAGGGGGAAGUGAACUUUCCAAAGAGAAGACCCGGCUUCAGAGAAGCCCCACCGGCCCCUGCCGCGGAGCACAGCGUCCCUCACGCGUCACCGUAUGCCACACCUGCACCCUUCUCUCUUAUGGCCUCAAGAUCACUCCAUCUCGCUGGUGAGGAAACUGAGGCUGGGAGCAGUUAAGCAAUUUGGCCAAGGCCACACAGUUAGGAAGAAAGAGAGCGCGUUUCAAAUACAACUAGUCGAGCCGGCCUUCGUGCUGUCUCUGCCACCCCCCCGCCAGACUCAGUGGGUCACCGAACGUGGGGGCUGGCAGUGCAGCAGGGGUCCACAGCCCACCCGCGUGCUCGCCCUGCUAACUCCAGGGCUGCGGAGCCCCGGGGCCGCCUGGGACAGAUGGCGAAGGGGACGUGAGCUGUCCGGUGAAGCCCCCCAGGAAACCAUGACUUGGAAACCCAGAGGGAGGCUGAAGGAGGGGAAGGAGGGGAUGGCUCGCCUAGACAGGACGCACACUUGACAUUGGAGAGAGCAUAGUCGCUCGAAAGUGUGCUGGCUUCAAGCAUGCUUCAUCCCGUACAGCCAAGCAUCCGUCCAUGCAUCCGUCUGUCCGUCUAUACGUCCACCCACCCACCAACCACACAUUUAACCAUCCAUUUAACCUUUCACUGGCCAUCCAUCCAUCCAUCCACCCACCAUCCAUUCCCUCCAUAAAAAUUUACGAUGAAGCCCCUCCCCUGCGCUGGGAGCCAUCCUCAAGAAGCUUGGUCCUGUAGAGACAACUGCAACACGACGAAGGUGGGCGGGGCUGUGCCCGAGAAGUCCUGUGGUCUGUGGAGUCCCGGGAGGCGCCUGACCCACAUAGGGCUUGUCCAGGAAGGCUUCCUGGAGGGGGCGGUGCCAGAGCCAAAUCUUCCAGGAUGAGUGACGCGCCCAAGCAAAAGGAAUGGGGGUUCCCCCCACAGCACAAGCACUGGCGCAGGGGUGGGGAGGGAGAGGGUGGAGAAGAGGGCCGUGUGGAGAGAUGGGGCCGGCUGGGGAACGAACCCACCCAAAGGGGCCGGCCCUGCACACCCCGGGGACUCUGUAGAGGAGGUUUAGGGGGGAGGUUUCUCCCUCAUAAAUGUCUCUUCUAACUGUCGCACCCAUGGACCGUCGGUGGCCCGAAGGCAGGGGCAGGCCGUCCUCCACCGCCAGCACCCGCGGCAGCACCGGGCACGGAGCCGACAAGGUCACACGUCUGCUGAGUGGGUGUCGGCACCGGUUCAGGGCCUUCCCGGGAGGGGCCGAUUCCCAGACGCUCACAGCCACUGUGCACAGAGACCGCUGGGCCCGGAGGCCCGAGGGCAGGCGGGGCAGAGAGACACAGGUGCCGGAAGCUGGGAGUCAGGCCGGCACCAGGGUCGCGGCCAGAGGCCCCAGGACUUCCAGCUGGAGCCCUCUGCUCGGUGCCCCAGGCAGCCCUAACCCUCCCCCUCAUCUGCACAAAGUUACAAUUUUGCUAAAUCAACGUAACGUUUUGCCUUUUCGAAAGUCAUAACCAGCAGGGUGAUGCGGCUGAUAGAGAAUGUUCCCCGUGGGGCUGCCGGAUGCUCUGCGCGCUUUUCUGUGGCUCCUGUACAGGUGUUCUGUGUGGUCUGUUCUGUCGCUGCCCCAGUGGGCACGCCUGCUGAGGGGGAUUUGGGCACAGGCCUGUCCCGGCCCCGACCUGAGCUCUGCGUCCCCGGGGAGGGGGGCGUCUGGGGGCAUAUGUUCGCACGUUUCGCUCAAAACACCCGUGAGCCGCCCCCGGUGAUCGGGUCUCCUCCUCCUCCUCAGCUGUGGAGAGACAAAUUCCAAACGCCGCCAGUCCCUCUCGUGUGGGGACUCAUCUGCCACAGGUGCCCUCCCUAGCGGCAGGAACAGAAAUACGGGACGAAGAGAAUCCCAUCCUCCCUGGCCGCGGAGUAUAUCGGGCGCCGUUCGGCACAUUGAUUUUUCCAAACACAAAUAGCGUGCAAGAUAUUUCCAGGAACGGACAAAGAAAGCCUGGGGACAACUUAUUUCAAUCACCUCUCUUGGCUGAACUCUGCAGAGGCGGGGAAACAGCAGGGCGGCUGGGGACCGGGCCCCGGAGCGCUGGCUGGGGGCCCAGCCCCGGUGAGCCCCGCUUAUCACCUUGAAGCAACCGCUUCCUUCCAGACAGGGCCAGGCGCCUGGCGAAUCAGCCCAACGUGUCCAGUAAACCGAGGCUGACGCGGGGAACUGAAGCAGGGGCGGCCCAGAGAGAAGGCCUCCGAGGGGGGGGGCCGGAAGGAGCCUCUGCACGGUGGUAUCACGAUCCCAGCACGUGAGGGAAUCCACACGGUGGAGGAGGACGAAAGGAACCCAGCGAGGAAGGGAGGGGUGAGGAGGGGGCAGUGAUGGGGGAAGGACGGAGGGAAAAAACGGUGCCUUCAGACCUCCCAGGGCAGUAGGAGGUCACUCUGGCCUGGUCAACAGCCCCCCGAGAGGAAUCAAGCUCAGCCCUCCUCCUCAGCCCAGACAAGAGCUCAGACCUCUGGGUGUGGCCAGGGUCCCGAUGGAGGAAGGCACGAAGGAGACGCCUGAAGCGGCUUGCGCAAUCCGGGAAUGCUGCCUGGUGGAGGUGACAGCCAAGUUGUCAAAAGCGCUUUCUACCUGCGGGUGACCCUGAGGAUGUGCACAGUCUGGAACUCCGUGCACGCAGCGGGUGCACCGCCAACGUUGGGAGAAUGUCACGAGCAGAAAUCCUGGCAUGUAAAACACAGAUGCCAUCACCCUCCCGCCUGAACCCCUUUUACAGAUGGGGCAAAAGAGGCUGGCCUCAGAGGACCAGGCGGCCUGACCGGCGAUCCUUGGCUCAAGGAAAAUCCCUGCGCCCCGAAUUCUGUGCAGGUCCCCGGGAAGCAGGCCGGGGACUUCCCAGCCAGUCCUGCCGUCGGCUCAGGGCCAGUGCUGCGGAAGACGCCCAGCCCAGAAGCAGGGGCCCAAGUCGGUACCAGUCAAGGCUCCCCAGAGGAACAGAACCAGUAGGAUGCAUAGAGACACAUCUAAGAGGAGUUUUAUCAUAGGAAUCCGCUCACAAGGUCACGGAGGCCGAGGAGCCCCACCAUCUGCCACCUGCGAACUGGAGACCCAGCAAAGCUGAAGGGUGGUCGGGUGGAGUCGGAAGAUCGGAGGGCCGGGAGCGCCCGCGUCUGCGGGCGGGAGAAGGUGGAUGUCUCAGCUGAAGCGCAGAGAGCAAAUCCUCCCUUCCUCCCCGCUCAGUGGAGGUGGACUGGGGGGUGCCCCCCACAUCGGGGAGCACAGCCCUGCCUCGUUCCGCCCACCGCUUGAAGUGCUGACCGCUUCCGGAGACACCCGCACACGCACAGCCAGAGAGUGUUCCAGGCAUCCCCGAGCGCAGCUGGGAAGACACAUGAAAUUGACCAUCACGAGGCUCCGACUCUGACUCUGUCACAAAACACCAUGAGCCCCGAGGCGGUCAGCCACCGGUUCCAAAGACCUCACGUGUGCCCAGCCCUUCCUCUGCUGGGGGUGGGGACCCAGCAGUGAAAAUAAAUGACCCUUCCCCCUCCAAGGACCCCGCAGUCCAGUGGAACGUGUGGGUUAGUCCUUCCCUCUGGGAACACUGCAUCAGGGUCAGCGGGGUUGCGGCACAGGGCUCGCACCUGUCACCCUCCCCCGCCAUGGCGGCAGAUGACAUCACCAGUCCACUGCGGGCCCCCUUCCCUCAGCCAGAGGGCCCCCUCCCCUCCCUCCAGGGGGCCCUGCAGGCAGCUGUGGUCACAUCUGCCAAACCUACGUGCCGUCCUGACGACUUGGAAGGUCUGCCCAAGAUCCCAUUACUUUGGGGUAGAGUUAAAGUCCCACCCAGCUGACCUCUUUGUCACUUUGCCCUCACUCUCUGGGCCUUUCCUCCAUGUGCUCACUCCAUGCUAUUAUCACCUCGGAUUGUAAUUGUUAGGUCAGCCAGCAGCCGCCUGGUUUCCUCCAUCGACAGCAAGCUCACUGCCUCUGGUGAUGAAGUUCUUUAUGUUGGUCCCAAAUCCCUCCCAGGCCCUGGUUCAUGACUCACGCUUGACUUGAAAGGCACAAUGUCAACCGAUAACUAUAGCUGUUUUCUGUGGACUGAGACCCCACUCCCCUGGGUCCGAAACCCACCCGGCCCCCAGCAUGGCUCAGUGCAUGACUGAAUGAAUUAACCACAGCAACUGUGUAAAGCCUUGGCGGGUUCUCUUUUCCCUGUUUCACAGAGAAACUGAGUCCCGGAGAGUCAAGAGUCUGCAGACCAUGGCAGAGGGGAUGUUGGAAGCCAUGCUCCCUUCUACCGAGACCCUUGCUCCUUCUGAGAGCACAUUCCGCAGAGGCAGAAACAAACACCCACCCCUCCAAGCCCGUCUGCCCCACGUGCACACAUGCUCUUCCUUCCAGAACCUUCUCUGUCUGCUUCCUCCCUUCCCACCGUCUGGGAUGGAAGCCUGCACUUGAACUGCCCGUUCCCAUAGUUGUUCCCCAAAGACAGUGGCCUGACUUUGUGUUGACACUCACAGCACACGAUCAAGGAUAAAAGAUUUGGAGCCACCCUCGAGGGCCAGCAGGGGGAAGGACUCUGUGAGAACAGCCAUCUGGAGAGAGAUAAGGGGAAGGCCCAGCAGGAAGAGACAAUGCCAGGAGCUCCUUAAAGAAGAAAGACGGCAUUUCCCUGCAGGUGCUUAGCAGCAGCUGUUGAAGCUGUUAUUCCGGGCAGUGCCAGAAUAUCUACAAUCAAAAUGUCAGGCUCGGGGAUUCCAAUCCUGGUCUGAUUGACACACUGCAGGAUCCCAAGAGCAGCGUCCACAGAAGGGCAGUGAGCAGUGAGGACGUGAGUAAAUGCCGGUAGUGGUGGUGGUGGCAGUGGUUGCUCUACGCUGCACCAAAGCAGAGUGGCACAGAAGCUGGCUCCUGGAAUCGGUGUAGGAUUCUGUACUCUCCACCAGGCUUUCCCUGAGUGUGUCCCCCGUGCAGCCUUGGGCACAGAAAGGAGUAGAGAUCCGAGCCUGACUUGAUGGGAUUUAGAUGCUGGAAUGGUUAAGACUUUGGGGGAUAUAGGGAUAGUGUGAAUGUACUUUGCAUAUAAGAAGGGCAUGAAUUUGGGGGCCAGAGGGCAGAUUGUUAUGGGUUAAGUGGUAGCCCAUUGAAAGAUACACUGAAGUCCUAAGCCCCAGUGCCUGUCAAAGCGACCUUUUUGGGAAUGGAGUCCUUGCAGGUGUUAAUUAGUUAAGAUGAGGUCAUACUGGAGUCGAGUGGGCUCUAAUCCAAUAUGACUGGUGUCCUUAAAAGAAGAGGAAAUUUGGGGGGCGCCUGGGUGGCGCAGUCGGUUA